rnacentral:rRNA from 1 species
GCCUACGGGAGGCAGCAGUCAGGAAUAUUGCGCAAUGGAGGAAACUCUGACGCAGCGACGCCGCGUGGGUGAUGAAGGCCUUAGGGUUGUAAAGCUCUUUUAUCCGGGACGAUAAUGACGGUACCGGAGGAAUAAGCCCCGGCUAACUUCGUGCCAGCAGCCGCGGUC